UCCGUUAUCUCAAUACGGGUCAUUUUUAGCAAGUCUUAUGUAUCUCUUUUCUUCAAUGUUAAGAUUUUGAUGUUUCAAUAGAUCUUAUUUCUCAAUGUCUUGUCAGAUCAAUUUCGUUUCAUAUAAACAUGCAAUGCCCUUUUUUUCCUCGCAAAGGUCGAUCUGUGGGAGUGUCAAUGAGAUGUUCUUGCUUAUUGACAUAGCCCACGAGCAGAGUUAUGAAUGAAAAAAAUUAUUCUUGAACGAGGAAGGAUCCGUUUGUCAUUAAUUGUUGAUGUGAUGUAGAACACACGGCGAACACACGGCAGACACGUUUAUGUCAAAGUGGGACAGUCGUAAGCCCAAAUGCGGGUCUGGUCGAAGAAAAUAACUUGUUUCGAAGAAACGACCAUAAUUUUCAAACCGUACGUCGGAUUUGGAUAAAUUAUAUAUGAAAAUCGAUUAUCUCGACGAGACGGAGCCAUCCAAACCGACCCCUAAGGUUCGUCGUUUAUUCAUCUAACUAUUCAUCCCUUAUCCAACUGUUUAUAUUUUUCAAGAUGGCUAGGUUCGUCGUUGACAGCAUCCAUUUGCUCUUUGGACUUUGUGGCUCUAGGUUCGAAAAUAAGGAGCGUGUCUUGUAUUUGUCAAUUAAACUUUCUAUGUCAUCCUACUGAACUAAGGUGAGGACAUGCUUCGCAGGUUAGGAAUGCUGAAGGAAGGAUGGUAUUUAAAUUUAGUGGGGGUAUUUAGGAAAGGGGGUGGAAACAAUGAAGGUUAUUGCAUGAAGUUUAAAUUGACCAUCUUCUAAUCUACGCUCAUGAUUUCCAAUUUUCUAUGCUCUAGAACAUUCAUGGGUUACUAGCAAUAGGUCUACGUCCAUGGAAAGUAGACAUGUAGGGGUGGAAGUUGAUCGAGUAAUGAUCAAAUAGUUCUCCGUUUAUUCAUCUAACUAUUCAUCCAGUUUCAAUUUGAAAGAUCAUUCAAGAGAAAAUUUAAAAAAUAGACGUUAGUAUUCAUAUACUAAAAGGAUAAAAAAGAGGGGGGCGUCCAUAUAUUUAGUUUGUUUGCUUUUCAUUCGCUUAUCAAAUAUUUGUUUAAUGUUUAUUCCUUUAUCAUGUAUGAAGUCCCACAUCGAUGUUUUAAACCAAUGCACAUCAUCACUUUAAAGGAAUAAUUUUCAGUUAUGAUUUAAAUGGUAUUAGAUCAGAAUUCUAAUCACACAAAAGUAACUCUGUAACCAAAUAAAAAUAUCUUCUUAUUCAAGUAUUCGAUAAAAUUUGAAGAACAAAAUUUGAGUUUGGAUUCGGAUUCAAAUUUGUUUUGCGGAUACAAACAUGGACACCUCAAUGUUUGACUCAAUUGAUUGGUUUCUAGCACCAUGUGGUCUUCAUAUAACAGUGAAGUUUAAAUCUCAACAAAGCAAUUGAAUGAGUAGUAGUUAGAGAUGAGAAUUACAAUUUGAAAGAACUAAUAAGAUCUGAGGGACUUAAUAGCAAGUUCAAUGAUUUGAGGGAUUAAUUCAAAUUAGUGAAGAUCUAAGAAACCACUAUCGAAGAACUUUUUAUUUAUUUGUAGUUCUGUAACUUUUGUUUGGAAGCUUCAUUCUAAUCUUUUUUCUAAUCGAUCAUAGUACUCAUGGACAACGAACCAUGUAUAAGUCUAUGUGAUUAGUAGGUAUCAAUAUUUAUGUGAUCCAUUUUAAUUAUUCAUGUUUAAGGUUUGCAUCAGAUCGGCCUGCAUCAGUUUGUCGAAGGACGUCAAUAUAUCAGUGGGUUACUUGCAAGUUUUUGUUUCGGCAUUUGUACUCUGACACAUACAGGUAAAUCUUUUUGAGGCUCAACAUCAACAUGCAAUAAUGGUACAAGAGGAGCUGCAAAAAUUCAGUGGAGGGUGAUGGGGCUCGGAAGGAAGAUAGAAAGAAAGAAAGACGGAGAAGGUAUUUGUUCCUAAGUAAUUGGUUUCGGUUUUCCCCUGACUAAUGACCAGGCCAUGGUGAAGGAGUGACUGAACAUGCCCAUGUUCAUGGGACCUUUUCUGAGCAGCAUAUUGCCCACCAUUGGUGAAACCAAAUACUGAGGCUCCAUAACUGGAUACAACCCUGUUGGAGACCUAAAGCCUUUGGAGACCUAAAGCCUUUGGAGAAUGACUUGAAGCCCA